GGCAUAGUAGCUCAGUUGGCGAGAGCGUGCGGUUCAUACCCGCAAGGUCGCUGGUUCGAACCCAGCCUAUGCCA
rnacentral:tRNA from 1 species